GAAAGGUGAAAAUAAGAGUCCACGUUGCUUACUGCAGGAGUUUGGCAAUUUCACUACUUUAUUGACUGAAGAAUGAUCCAUAAAGAUUUAAUUGCUGGUUUGUUGGUGUUUGGGUUUUUUUCCCUGCUGUUUUCAAACAAAAUCCUGUCCAGUAGUUUGGCCAUUCCCCUUUGGCUAUUGACGUGCACAUGGAGGUAAAUUAGGCACUUCUCUAAUUAAACAGUAAUGCUGAAAGCUUUAGAGAGGUUUCUUCUUCCUAUAAUAGAAUUUUUUAGAUCAGAAAUGAGCCAUCUGUACAGAACUUCUGAGUGACUUGAAGAAUUUUGUGUAAGGGGAGAUGAAGGAGCUCCUGUUUGGGAUGCUGGCAUGUGUUUACUCAAUAAAUCGUACCUUUGAAUUCUUACUUCUCAGCAAGAGGUAGCAAAAACCCGGGGUGGGGUUACUUCUCUAUUUCCAAUUUAAUCCUAGCAGGCAUGGCCUCCUUCAGCUUGACGAGUAAGACAAUUCUUCAUUUCAAGUUAUCUAUCGUCCGUUUUCUCUCCAUUAUUACAGGAGUGGGAUAAAGUAUUUGUUCACUUUCUUCUAAGUAGCUUUUAAAACAAGUUACAGAAAAGGAAGUCAGGGGAAGGAGCAGCACAUUUGAUUUUCUGCUUCAGGACCACGACUGUCCAACAGGAAAAUCAUUAACGGAUUAUGGGAAGCUUCAAAGAAGGCAAUUCAGUUCUUCCUCCCGGCAGUACUAAAGAUGCACCUGAUUUACAGCAGAGACUAUUACCUCCUCUUACUUGAGACACUAUCUACUACAUUCAUGGGAUUAAUUAAUGGGGAAAGAGGCCAAAACUACUGAUACACUUGAUGAAAAAGGCACCUACCGAGUUCAGCCUGGAACAGGUGAUACGUGUCUGGAUUACGAACGGUGACAGCAAUGUAGACCUCAGGAGCUUUUCUGG